rnacentral:rRNA from 1 species
UAUACAACUUUCAGCAACGGAUCUCUUGGCUCUCGCAUCGAUGAAGAACGCAGCGAAAUGCGAUAAGUAAUGUGAAUUGCAGAAUUCAGUGAAUCAUCGAAUCUUUGAACGCACCUUGCGCUCCUUGGUAUUCCGAGGAGCAUGCCUGUUUGAGUGUCAUUAA